rnacentral:rRNA from 1 species
AGUCGAGCGGAGANGAGGUGCUUGCACCUUAUCUUAGCGGCGGACGGGUGAGUAAUGCUUAGGAAUCUGCCAUUUAGUGGGGGACAACAUUCCGAAAGGAAUGCUAAUACCGCAUACGUCCUACGGGAGAAAGCAGGGGAUCUUCGGACCUUGCGCUAAAUGAUGAGCCUAAGUCGGAUUAGCUAGUUGGUGGGGUAAAGGCCUACCAAGGCGACGAUCUGUAGCGGGUCUGAGAGGAUGAUCCGCCACACUGGGACUGAGACACGGCCCAGACUCCUACGGGAGGCAGCAGUGGGGAAUAUUGGACAAUGGGCGGAAGCCUGAUCCAGCCAUGCCGCGUGUGCGAAGAAGGCCUUUUGGUUGUAAAGCACUUUAAGCGAGGAGGAGGCUACUAGUACUAAUACUACUGGAUAGUGGACGUUACUCGCAGAAUAAGCACCGGCUAACUCUGUGCCAGCAGCCGCGGUAAUACAGAGGGUGCGAGCGUUAAUCGGAUUUACUGGGCGUAAAGCGUGCGUAGGCGGCUUUUUAAGUCGGAUGUGAAAUCCCCGAGCUUAACUUGGGAAUUGCAUUCGAUACUGGGAAGCUAGAGUAUGGGAGAGGAUGGUAGAAUUCCAGGUGUAGCGGUGAAAUGCGUAGAGAUCUGGAGGAAUACCGAUGGCGAAGGCAGCCAUCUGGCCUAAUACUGACGCUGANGUACGAAAGCAUGGGGAGCAAACAGGAUUAGAUACCCUGGUAGUCCAUGCCGUAAACGAUGUCUACUAGCCGUUGGGGCCUUUGAGGCUUUAGUGGCGCAGCUNACGCGAUAAGUANACCGCCUGGGGAGUACGGUCGCAAGACUAAAACUCNAAAUGAAUUGACGGGGGCCCGCACAAGCGGUGGAGCAUGUGGNUUAAUUCGAUGCAACGCGAANANCNUUACCUGGCCUUGACAUACUAGAAACUUUCCAGAGAUGGAUUG